rnacentral:rRNA from 1 species
CCUACGGGAGGCUGCAGUGGGGAAUAUUGGGCAAUGGAGGAAACUCUGACCCAGCAAUGCCGCGUGAAUGAAGAAGGUAUUCGGUUUGUAAAGCUCUUUAGUCAGGGAAGAAUAAAAUGACGGUACCUGAAGAAUAAGCUCCGGCUAACUACGUGCCAGCAGCCGCGGUAAUACGUAGGGAGCAAGCGUUGUUCGGAAUGACUGGGCGUAAAGGGUGCGUAGGCGGUUAUACAAGUUAGAAGUGAAAUACCCAGGGCUUAACUCGGGUGCUGCUUCGAAAACUGGAAGACUUGAGUGCAGGAGAGGUUAGUGGAAGUCCUGGUGUAGCGGUGGAAUGCGUAGAUAUUAGGAGGAACACCAGAGGCGAAGGCGGCUAACUGGACUGCAACUGACGCUGAGGCACGAAAGUGUGGGGAGCAAACAGGAUGAGAUACCCCUGUAGUC